CGUGUUCGUAUGAGGUGUUCCGACGCUCGUGUCUGUUAAUUCGCGCGGAAUUUUUCGAUAAUGCUUUGCAGACGCAUCUUUCUGCUCACGAAAUCUUCAUUGCUAGUAGGAAAUGGCCACAUUGGCUACAACGAACAGCUGCACGCAGCCAGUAGCCAGCGGGACCCGCACACUGUCGGCUGGGUACACGAUCGACAUCGCUUCAAAUAUUAAAGAGACCGGUGCACUAUCGUUGUAGAAGCCAGGAAAAGCAUCACCAGGGGCAACAGUGAGAACGCGUCGGUGUCGACAUUAACAUGAAACUUAUGGAUGGACUCCUGGGCUAAAAGCUGCAAUCAGCAGCUUGAAAAAUACGCAAGAGGCAUGGUACAUGGCAGAAGCAACAACAAGAUCAUUGCAUUUGAAAGAAUUACCAGAGUAAGUACACUCAUGAACAAAUGAGCACAUUAACACAAGCAUUUACAGAAUGAUUACCAAUCUAAAUGCUAAACCCCAUGAGAGCGAUUUUAUACGCGACGGCGACGAGCGACGGCUUCGAGCGACAAAACGGGCCGUCGCUUGAACAGAUCGCUCGGUCUUGUCGCUCGAUCGCUUGGUUCAAGAAAUCUAGAAUUCGUCGCUUGUCGCCAGGAAGUGCUAUGAGCAACUAGCCAAUAGUGCGAAGCCGGAACUGAAUGUACGUCACUCAAAUACUACCGAUUGUCGCACGGAAUGAGCAAACUUGAAUUUUAUACCUGCAAGAAAAAACACCUACUGCAAACCCUCAGAAAUAUCUUAAGCUGCUGUUUACAGUUAAAUACACCAACUUAAAGUAAUAAAGCACACUGUCACGAUAGUUUUGGCGCGUAUGUUGCUGCCCUCAUACCGGCAACACCGGGGAGACGUCGCUGACAAUCGUCGAUCGCAUGUGGUACGGCUUGCAGGCGACGAGCGAACGCGACAGCCAUCUCCAUCGCAUCACUUGUCGCUGUCACGUGCGCGAUCGCU
rnacentral:lncRNA from 1 species